GGCUCGUUGGUCUAGGGGUAUGAUUCUCCCUUUGGGUGUGAGCAGUCCCGGGUUCAAAUCCCAUAUGAGCCC
rnacentral:tRNA from 1 species